AUAAAGGCCGAUAUUCGUUUGAAAGGGGCCUGUUACCUGAAAUGAGUUGGAUUCGCAAAGAAAAUGAUGUUAAUGCUAAUCUGUCAGUAGUAAACUCUUGUUCAAAGCCAUUUAAGCAAAAAUCUUUAAGUCAGAAACCAUUGAAUAGCAUUGCUUACAAUGUUUAUGAUAUGGCUGCCAAACAAUCAAAAACCAAAAAAACUUUGGCUAAGGAUCUGAGUGAUGAAGAAAAAGAAUCUGUUAUACAAGAAGUGCUAGACUAUAUGUUGGGCCGUAGGUCUCCUGUGGCUUCCUCACCAGACUGCUUCUUGUGUAAAGGUGUUCCUCCUACAAAGGAAAAAUGUUCUCAAAGUUGCUCACACAACCAGCGUAGUGUUACUGGCCUCCCUGUUUAUCGAUCCUCACCUCAUAAACACUUAAACAGUGCAAAUUUUUCUAAGAAAAAUUGUGUUACCCCAACCACGAAGGACAAGAAAGCAAAGCAAACAAAAAUCAUUAAUGGAAAGCAAGCUGAAGAGCAAAGAGAGUCCCCCAUAAAAAAAUGGCUAGAAAAUGGAUCCAAUGCUACCAAAGCUGUAGCCUCUACUGAGUCAACAUAUGCAUCCAACACUCUUGGAAAAGAGCAUUUUCAAUCAUCAAAACGAUCUAAACAAGUUGGUGACUCUAAAUGCCAAUAUACUAGUAAAACAUACAUUAAGCCAUUUGGAGAAAAGUGUUCUAUGGAUAAUCACUCUUGCCUUGAAUGCCAAGAAUUGAAAGGGGUAAAGAGUACGGCCCCCUUAAAACGCCAAUCCCGAUAUUGGGGCCGAAAAAGUUGUACGCAGCCAUUGAAAAGCGAUAAAACUGAUUCCUGUGUCAGGCAGCCGCAUCAAAACAACAAAUCUCAGUCAUGUAAAGCCAUCAUCCAAACUUCUUCAGCGAAUGGAACUACCUAUUGGCCAAGGGUUCUUAUCUCUUCACAUCUCAAUGUUCUUUUCUCUCGCAUUACUGCAGAGAACGACAACAUUGGUUUCGACCUAACGCACCAUGUGAACGUAAACAGAGGACUAGAACGGUGACUCGAUGGAUCAGCUCAAAACCUUGUGAUCAUUGCGAAAGGCAACAAAGGAUUGUGUAUGCUGACUGGAAAAAUGCCAGCUGUGCUUAGGAGCUCAGCUAACUUAUUGGUCAAGAAGGAUGAUAGGAUGAGCGGAGAAGCAAAGAAAUAUUCAAAAACAAGAACGACGCCGAGUUAAGAGAAAGCGCCAAGCGUUUAAUCAACACCUUGCCCUGCCAGGGCAAGCGAUUCUGACCGCAAAGCACCUCACACUCGUUUUCUCAGAGCGCCACGUAGCUCGAUAAUCAUCCGGCGUCCAAUGUCAGAAGAAAACAGUGUGCUGUAUAAAUAGGUUCGAAUAGUGCU